rnacentral:tRNA from 1 species
AUUUAAAUAGUUUAAUAAAAAUAUUGAUUUGUGGAAUCAAAGUUAUAUUUUAGUAUUUUAAAUA